GGAGGCUGGGACGGCGCGCGGCAGAAAACAAGUAAAUGAUGUUCUAGUAAUAGAGCAUAAUGGAUAAAUAAAUUCAGAGAAGUAUAAACCAACAUUAGAUAUCAAAAUGUAAGAUAAAGUCUCUGCUUUGAGGCAUAACAACAGCUAGUCAACAUGAUUUUUUCCUCCAAAUCAAGACUUCCCAAGAAUAAGCUAGCAUCUGGACUGAAUCCACUGGAUAGAUCGAUCGACUACAAGAACAUUUUUGCAACCUGAAUACGAAUGGAAAAAGCAUGGUGAUAAUGCAAAUUCGGAAGCCCUGUUUAGCGACGCAUUCAUCUGUCCAUGUUCACUCCAUGACUAAUAGCACUACUAAAAUCACCAGGGUGCUACAGAUUCGCAAGCUCGCCUAAGAUUAUGGAAGCACCAUCCGUACUUGCGCUCCAUUCCUCGGCACCAAGUUCUCUGUCACUGCACAAAGUAAGAGAAGUGGCCCCAAAAUCAGUUCACCUACUUCACCAGAACUAAGAAACAAAUAGAAAUCCAAGAGGAUCAAGCUGCAACAUUACUAGGAGCAUCAACGGUACGAGAAGCCCGCUGGAGUGAACUAAGAAACAAAAAAUAUUUUUAGUAAUUUAGUAAUUGAACUGAUGGUCUUUUUGUGAAAUCAUGCACUAAAUAACUGCUGCAGAAUAUGGAAAAUAUACCAAAGAGAAACCGGAGGUGUGGCGGCACUGCUGCAGCACUUGUGGAUUUUAUAACAUUUUCAAGAGAAUCGGGCCAUACACUUGCUGGAAAAAUGGAAAAAGGGCAACCUGGUGCAUGUAGCUCCCGCUUGCGCAGGGUCCAGGG
rnacentral:lncRNA from 1 species